CCAAUUAGUAGGUAUAUAGUUAUCCAAAUGGUUCUUAUCACCUUGGAAACAUGUAUACAUGAAUACAAUUAAGUUUUGAGUAUAUUUAAAGAAUCCACACAAUUCAAUGGAUUUAUAACAACUAAUUUUUUAUUUUUAUUUUUUAAAAGGAUUUUUCUCCCCAAACUCUCAAAUUAUCAUCUUCUUCUCCACAUUUCCCUCAUCUUUGCCACUUCACUCUCUCAUUUCAGCCAUCAAUUGAAAGGAAGCUGAAUUCACUAUUAUAUUACAAACCUCUUCUUAUGCCCCUAAGAAGGGUCCAAUUAAAGCCAACUAUAAAAGGAUUCCGUACAGGCUGGACUUUGUCGUUGGAGCAUACCACUAAUUGUCUUUUCAUUUUAGUUGAAAACUAUUAGAAGUUGGAUCAGCUGCCUCUUUGGGAAUUACCCUUUGUACCCAUUACGAUUGAUAUCUUGAAUGGCUGGAUCUUUGAUGCACUAUUAGAAGUAUGGGGUUGGAAGAAGACUGAGUCAGAAGCCGCGACACUAAAAAAUCACCUGGAAUCCAUCACUCUUUUGAAGCUUAAUGCUUAAGACAGGGCAUCACAUUUGGAUGGUGCACUGAAGGAGUGCAUGCGACAGAUACGUAAUUUGAAAGAAGAGCAUGAACAGAAGCUGCAUGAUGUGAUCCAGAAUAAAACCAAACAGUUUGAAAAGAUGAAGCAUGAGUUUGAAAAAAAGAUAGCUAACUUGGACCAACAGGUCUGCGGCAGAAAAUUCUGCACUCUCAAGCUCUUUGCAGGAGAGUUCUAGCAUGGUGAUAAAGCUCAGUGAAAAAAAUCCCAAGCUGAAGCAGAAAUAUUGAGUCAUGUGAAAAGGGAUCUGAAAUAUUGAGUCAUUUAUGCAAACGGUUGUGCUCAUUUUAUGAUUCGACUUCUGAUCCAGACAUUCCUCGUGAAGGAAGUCUUGUUCUCCUACUUCAGAGUCAACAUCAACCUCUUUGAAGUGCUCGUUGGAGGAGAAGAACAAUUGAAAUUAGAGAAAGAAAAUAUGGCUCUUGAUCUUGCUAGAUACUCCGAACAUGGAGAGCACUAAAUCCCAGUUGGCUGAAACCGAGCUACUCCUAGCAGAGAUUAAGUCACAAUUGGCAUCUGCUCAAAAGGCAAACAGUUUGUCCGAAAUUAAGCUCAAAUGCAUGGUAGAGUCAUACAACUCACUUGAAACUCGGAAUGAGGAGUUGCAAGCUGAAGUCAACCGUCUUCAGGCAAAGAUAGGAAGUCUUGAUAAUCACCAGGAUACCCUAGCUAGUUGCAAGGAUUUUGAUGAACAUCUACAAAGACAUGAAGAUUCUAUGUCUGAAUUUGCGUAGAAAAUAAAGUUGUGAGACUCUCAUACUCCGGACCCACCCAAAAUGAAACAGAGGAAGGAAAAGGAAAAGGCAAACAGUUUGUCUGGACUUUUGAUCUAAUUUCACAUUAACUCAAUGAAAGGCAAUAGAUUUCAGUAUGCAACUGAACUUUGAAAUAAAUAUUGGUGUUAUAUUGUUGCUAACAAAUAGAUUUAUUUUUGUUUUGCUCCAUCUCUCUAAGUUUGUUUCAGGUACAGAAGUUCCAAUGCAUAUGAAAAGAUUUGCAAAUUAAACAUUUAUAAUAUAUGAGCAAAUAAUGAUAUUUGGAUGA